AUGUUAAAUCUGAGAUGUCUGAAUACAGACAAGUAUAACUAUAGAGUAAGAGUGAAUCUGUUUCAAAUCCUGAAAGAUAAUGCUGUGAAAGUGCUGCACUCAAUAUGCCAGCAAAUUUGGAAAACUCAGCAGUGGCCACAGGACUGGAAAAGGUCAGUUUUCAUUCCAAUCCCAAAGAAAGGCAAUGCCAAAGAAUGCUCAAACUACCACACAAUUGCACUCGUCUCACAUGCUAGUAAAGUAAUGCUCAAAAUUCUCCAAGCCAGGCUUCAGCAAUAUGUGAACCGUGACCUCCCUGACAUUCAAGCUGGUUUUAGAAAAGGCAGAGGAACCAGAGAUCAAAUUGCCAACAUCCGCUGGAUCAUGGAAAAAGCAAGAGAGUUUCAGAAAAACAUCUACUUCUGCUUUAUUGACUAUGCCAAAGCGUUUGACUGUGUGGAUCACAAUAAACUGUGGAAAAUUCUGAGAGAGAUGGGCAUACCAGACCACCUGACCCGCCUCUUGAGAAAUCUGUAUGCAGGUCAGGAAGCAACAGUUAGAACUGGACAUGGAACAACAGACUGGUUCCAAAUAGGAAAAGGAGUACAUCAAGGCUGUAUAUUGUCACCCUGCUUAUUUAACUUAUAUGCAGAGUACAUCAUGAGAAACGCUGGACUGGAAGAAACACAAGCUGGAAUCAAGAUUGCCAGGAGAAAUAUCAAUAACCUCAGAUAUGCAGAUGACACCACCCUUAUGGCAGAAAGUGAAGAGGAGCUAAAAAGCCUCUUGAUGAAAGUGAAAGAGGAGAGCGAAAAUGUUGGCCUAAAGCUCAACAUUCAGAAAACGAAGAUCAUGGCAUCCAGUCCUAUCACUUCAUGGGAAAUAGAUGGGGAAACAGUAGAAACAGUGUCAGACUUUAUUUUUUUGGGCUCCAGAAUCACUUCAGAUGGUGACUGCAGCCAUGAAAUUAAAAGAUGCUUACUCCUUGGAAGAAAAGUUAUGACCAACCUAGAUAGCAUAUUCAAAAGCAGAGACAUUACUUUGCCGACUAAGAUCCAUCUAGUCAAGGCUAUGGUUUUUCCUAUGGUCAUGUAUGGAUGUGAGAGUUGGACUGUGAAGAAGGCUGAGGGCCGAAGAACUGGUGCUUUUGAAGUGUGGUGUUGGAGAAGACUCUUGUGA
rnacentral:lncRNA from 1 species